rnacentral:lncRNA from 1 species
GGGAGACCGAGGCCUUGCUCGUGUUUGUCUAUUCUUUGCCAUUAAAGAGUACAUUUUGAGGACUGAAGUUUCCUUGAGACACGGGAGGUUAAGGCCAGUGAGCGCUUUGUUGCCUUUCAGAUAUCUAAAGGACGGAAUUGGGGGCACUCUGUCUUAAGAUUCUACAUUCAAGCAGCCUUUAUCAUCUUCCAUAAGUAACACCCUUAGCCUAAGAAGGGACUUUGGGACAAGGUGAACACCCCUCCCCCCUCAACACGCACUUGUCCACCCAGGACAGCAGUUCUUUCCCGAACGAGGGCUAGGAAGUAAAUCUGCGCAGGCGCUGGGCUGUAGCGGGUUUGCGCAGGCGCUGCACUGUCGUGUGGGUUUGCGCUGGCGCCUGCGCACCUCUGAGCCCUAGCGUUGUCCUGGUUACCUCGGUGUGAGGCCUUAGGCGAGUCCCUUCAGUGGCCAGCCCAUCCGUUUCCCGUCAUUGCGGGGAGGAGUGAAGUUAGACUGGUGUUUCUGGAACCCUCAUGGUCGCCAGAAGGAAGGGAGAAGCCUGCCUGGAGGGAAAGCAAGGAAAAAAAAAUACUAAAAGCCUUUGGAUUCUGUGUUUCCUCAAAGCAGAAUCAUUAAAGAGAUUAUGCCAGGUGCCCAGGAGGCAAAAACAUCUCUCUGUGAAGACGUGGUUCAAGGCAAGAGCCAGAGAAGCAGUUAUAAAGGUAAAAACCAGGAUGACAGGCAUGCAGAGGAGCGGCAAGUCCCUGAUCAAGGGUCUUGUGCCUCUGGUGGAAGGUCCUGUGUGCAACACACUCCUUUAAGAGUGUGAUGGUGGGAUAAGAACAGAGAUCCAGAUGGAGGCUGUGACUCCUUGCCCUGGUUCUGCAGUUAGCAGCUAUCCCAGCAAGGAUGUGGGGAGUAUGGACCUAAGAGUUUCUGCUUGUAGCCACUGUGCCAGUGCGGCCUCUCAGCAAUUUCAGAAUAUUUUGGGAGACCUACGAUUGGAAGACCUGUGGUCCGCUUUGCAAGGUGGAGUCCUGGGGAGCAGCAACACCACACGCACUACACACACAUUUGUGACAUUUCUAGGCAAGUGGGGUAAGAGAUAGGCUUGCAGAGUUUGGUGUGGUCUCCCCGUGUCCACCAUGGCACAAAAGCAGAAGAGAGACCUAUGACCCCUUCUUUUAACAUGGCUCAGGUGUGGUGCAAAAGGCCAAGGAGGUCACAUGGGCUGCAGCAAGGGCCAGUGCUGCAGCCACACGGCUCAUGGCCAAGGCUGAGAAUGGGAAGAUCUUUGCAUGGAGGCAUUGAGGACUAGAAAUCCCCUCUGUGCCUUGUUCUACUAGAACUCAGACACAAUUUCAGGGAAUAUGGGAAAACCUCAAA